UACGUAGGGGCCAAGCGUUGUCCGGAUUAUUGGGCGUAAAGAGCUCGUAGGCGGUUGGGUAAGUCGGGUGUGAAAACUCCAGGCUCAACUUGGAGAUGCCACCCGAUACUGCUCUGACUUGAGUUCGGUAGGGGAGUGGGGAAUUCCUGGUGUAGCGGUGAAAUGCGCAGAUAUCAGGAGGAACACCGGUGGCGAAGGCGCCACUCUGGGCCGAAACUGACGCUGAGGAGCGAAAGCGUGGGUAGCAAACAGG
rnacentral:rRNA from 1 species